rnacentral:tRNA from 1 species
AGUAAAGUGCCUGAAAAAGGUUUAUCGUGAUAGGAUAAGUUAUGUAAUACUUUAUUACCUUUACUA